rnacentral:rRNA from 1 species
UAAUAAGUUACUAAGGGCACACGGGGAAUGCCUAGGCUCUCAGAGGCGAAGAAAGACGUGAUAAGCUGCGAUAAGGUUCGGGGAGAAGCAAAUAUUUUGUGAUCCGAACAUUUCUGAAUGGGGAAACCCGGUAUGUUGAAGACAUAUCAUCCUUUCGAGGAGGCGAACGCGCUGAACUGAAACAUCUAAGUAGGCGCAGGAGAAGAAAACAAUAGUGAUUUCCGUAGUAGCGGCGAGCGAAGUGGAAAUAGCCCAAACCAAGAUUGUUUCGGCAAUUUUGGGGUUGUAGGACUGGAACGUUUGUUUAGAGAUUUAGUGAAUAAGUUGGAAAGCUUGACAUUAUGGGUGAUAGUCCUGUACACGAAAGAAAUCUAAAUGAUACCAGUAUCCUGAGUAGG